rnacentral:rRNA from 1 species
UUUUCCUACGGGGGGCAGCAGUGGGGGAUAUUGGACAAUGGGGGGAACCCUGAUCCAGCGACGCCGCGUGAGUGAAGAAGUAUUUCGGUAUGUAAAGCUCUGUCAGCAGGGAAGAAAGAAAUGACGGUACCUGACCAAGAAGCCCCGGCUAACUACGUGCCAGCAGCCGCGGUAAUACGUAGGGGGCAAGCGUUAUCCGGAUUUACUGGGUGUAAAGGGAGCGUAGACGGCAGCGCAAGUCUGGAGUGAAAUGCCGGGGCCCAACCCCGGAACUGCUUUGGAAACUGUGCGGCUCGAGUGCGGGG